UUUGAUCCUGGCUCAGGAUGAACGCUAGCGGCAGGCUUAACACAUGCAAGUCGAGGGGUAACAUUGUAGCUUGCUACAGAUGACGACCGGCGCACGGGUGCGUAACGCGUAUACAAUCUACCUUAUACUGGGGUAUAGCCUUUAGAAAUGAAGAUUAACCCCCCAUAGUCUCUUCUGGUGGCAUCACCUAAAGAGUAAAGGUUACGGUAUAAGAUGAGUAUGCGUUCUAUUAGUUUGUUGGUAAGGUAACGGCUUACCAAGACUACGAUAGAUAGGGGCCCUGAGAGGGGGAUCCCCCACACUGGUACUGAGACACGGACCAGACUCCUACGGGAGGCAGCAGUGAGGAAUAUUGGACAAUGGAGGCAACUCUGAUCCAGCCAUGCCGCGUGUAGGAUGACUGCCCUAUGGGUUGUAAACUACUUUUAUACAGGAAGAAACACCUCUACGUGUAGAGGCUUGACGGUACUGUAAGAAUAAGGAUCGGCUAACUCCGUGCCAGCAGCCGCGGUAAUA
rnacentral:rRNA from 1 species